rnacentral:rRNA from 1 species
GACGAAGGAUGCAAGCGUUAUCCGGAUUCAUUGGGCUUAAAGGGAGCGUAGGCGGCCUUGUAAGUCAGUGGUGAAAUCUCUCGGCUUAACCGAGAAAUUGCCAUUGAUACUGCAGGGCUUGAGUACAGUUGCCGUUGGCGGAAUAUGACAUGUAGUGGUGAAAUACAUAGAGAUGUCAUAGAACACCGAUUGCGAAGGCAGCUAACGAAACUGUAACUGACGCUGAGGCUCGAAAGUGCGGGGAUCAAACAGG